CGCAAGCUUCAAUAUUCACACACGGUACGUUUAAUUGGGUCGUAAAUAUGAGAAGUGUUUCACAAACAAAUUGUUCACUAUUCUACAGGCUGCGAUAGGAUUUCAGUAUGCGACUGAAUUCAAACCCGUUUGUCCAGGAUAUCUUAUCAGUACUCGCGGUGUGGUUACCGCUGCUUCUUGCUUGGGCAAACUAUCAAUCGAUCAAAUGAUGGUGCGCCUCGGCUGGCAUGGCGAGGAAAGCGAUUCUUCAACAAUCAGAUUUGAGCCGGUUCAUUCUAGAAACGUACAUCCAUUGUACAAUGAAACGACUGGAGCGCACAACAUCGCUGUGAUAAAGCUGAAGAACGCUAUCCAACCUAACGUUCAUUUGUUUCCUGCCUGCUUAUGGCGGAAUAGAUUAGAGUCACCAGUAAUGCAACGCAUACUAUCCGAUGAGUUUGAAGGGUUUGAACUAAUACACCCGCUAUACAAAACGGACUGCGAGAAACGUUUGAAUUGUCCGCCGCUACCACAGGAAAUCGCUUGUAUGCGUAUUGCGGAUAACAAGUGUGCGCUACCAAUAUCGAGAGAAUACGCUUGCAACGAUCGCUUGAAAUUAAAAUUAAAGAAAAACUGCUACCAAGCUGGCAAUCCUAUUGUGUGGAGAAAGAAAGACCAUACCGGCAUUACCGAAUACCUGUUGGGUGUCUACAGCAUCGGAGAUUGCAAAUCGGAAGUUUCGCUGCACAUUGUGCAGCGGGUGGCAUUCUACAUCGACUGGUUUGCUAAAGUGAUGCUUUGAAAUCUUGUACCUUGUAUACUUGUAUCUUGUGUUUGGUUGUAGUGCAAAUAAAUGAUACAAUUUGAACAAAAAGA